AACGAACGCUGGCGGCAUGCCUUACACAUGCAAGUCGAACGGCAGCACGGAGCAAUCCUGGUGGCGAGUGGCGAACGGGUGAGUAAUAUAUCGGAACGUGCCCAGUCGUGGGGGAUAACGUAGCGAAAGCUACGCUAAUACCGCAUACGAUCUAUGGAUGAAAGCGGGGGAUCGCAAGACCUCGCGCGAUUGGAGCGGCCGAUAUCAGAUUAGGUAGUUGGUGAGGUAAAGGCUCACCAAGCCGACGAUCUGUAGCUGGUCUAAGAGGA
rnacentral:rRNA from 1 species